rnacentral:ncRNA from 1 species
ACAAAGAUAAAAACACAAACUGGUUGGUAGUCCGGUUGCGGCCCGAUUCCUCUCAGGCCGUCAGUAACCUUCCUCCUUAGGUCGUCCGUUCUUUGUCCAU